rnacentral:rRNA from 1 species
CCCUUAGAGUUUGAUCCUGGCUCAGGAUGAACGCUAGCUACAGGCUUAACACAUGCAAGUCGAGGGGAAACGACAUCGAAAGCUUGCUUUUGAUGGGCGUCGACCGGCGCACGGGUGAGUAACGCGUAUCCAACCUGCCCACCACUUGGGGAUAACCUUGCGAAAGUAAGACUAAUACCCAAUGACGUCUCUAGAAGACAUCUGAAAGGGAUUAAAGAUUUAUCGGUGAUGGAUGGGGAUGCGUCUGAUUAGCUUGUUGGCGGGGUAACGGCCCACCAAGGCUACGAUCAGUAGGGGUUCUGAGAGGAAGGUCCCCCACAUUGGAACUGAGACACGGUCCAAACUCCUACGGGAGGCAGCAGUGAGGAAUAUUGGUCAAUGGACGAGAGUCUGAACCAGCCAAGUAGCGUGCAGGAUGACGGCCCUAUGGGUUGUAAACUGCUUUUAUAAGGGAAUAAAGUGAGUCUCGUGAGACUUUUUGCAUGUACCUUAUGAAUAAGGACCGGCUAAUUCCGUGCCAGCAGCCGCGGUAAUACGGAAGGUCCGGGCGUUAUCCGGAUUUAUUGGGUUUAAAGGGAGCGUAGGCCGGAGAUUAAGCGUGUUGUGAAAUGUAGAUGCUCAACGUCUGCACUGCAGCGCGAACUGGUUUCCUUGAGUACGCACAAAGUGGGCGGAAUUCGUGGUGUAGCGGUGAAAUGCUUAGAUAUCACGAAGAACUCCGAUUGCGAAGGCAGCUCACUGGAGCGCAACUGACGCUGAAGCUCGAAAGUGCGGGUAUCGAACAGGAUUAGAUACCCUGGUAGUCCGCACGGUAAACGAUGGAUGCCCGCUGUUGGUCUGAAUAGGUCAGCGGCCAAGCGAAAGCAUUAAGCAUCCCACCUGGGGAGUACGCCGGCAACGGUGA